AUUCUUCAGGCCUGCGCCCUCCGCCGUGACGUCACCACCGGCCGUCCUACCGGUCCAACACCUUCUGACCGGUCCCGUCAUGCAUUCCCGAAUUCCCUCUCGCUUCAGUGGUGACGGCCGGGCUGCACGUGUGUUUUUCGCGAGUCUGCCGAGCCAUUUUCUUUGCGUUGUGUUUGCAGUGAAUUUUGCAUCCGGAAUUUUAUUGCACGAAGCUUCUGACAUGCCCAACAAGUGUUGUGUGCCGGCAUGUUCAAGUAAUUACAAGACGGGGAAGAAAGUUCAAGUAUUUUCAUUCCCCAAGGAUGAAGUGCAAAGGAAGAAGUGGCUCAGUGCUAUUCCAAGAAAGGAUUUCUUCCCGACGGAAAACAACAAGGUAUGCGCAUUGCAUUUCACCGAGUCAUGCCUCGAGAACAAGUCGUCCUACACGGAUCCUAUGACAGGAAGAGUGCUAGAGGUUUCACUGAAAGUACCGCGCCUGCGUUCAGGAUCAGUGCCCACACUGUUCCCAGGAUGUCCUUCGUACUUGUCGAAGGAUGACCCCUCUCCGAGAGAAUGCCCGGAAACGAAAAAAAUGCGCCGAGAAGCGGCUGACCUCGCUCGUGCCAUCGCAGAAUCGGAGGCUACUUAUCGCGAUGAAGAAGCGAAAUGUUGUUUUUCUCCGCUUCUUGAGCUUAUGGAAUGUUUGAAAAGCGCACCUGUGCCAAAUGAGUGGAUUGUAAUUCACCGCCCAAACUGUUCCCUGUUUUUAAAUAUUGUCGAUGAGAGCAUGCCGAUGUUGCGGUCGUCUGUUACUGUUUUCAG